rnacentral:tRNA from 1 species
CACUAAGAAGCUAAAAUAGGACAUAGCAUUAGCCUUUUAAGCUAAGGAUUGGUGGCCCCUAAUCACCCUUAGUGA